GACGAACGCUGGCGGCGUGCCUAAUACAUGCAAGUAGAACGCUGAAGGAGGAGCUUGCUUCUCUGGAUGAGUUGCGAACGGGUGAGUAACGCGUAGGUAACCUGCCUGGUAGCGGGGGAUAACUAUUGGAAACGAUAGCUAAUACCGCAUAAUAGUAGAUGUUGCAUGACAUUUGCUUAAAAGGUGCAAUUGCAUCACUACCAGAUGGACCUGCUUUGUAUUAGCUAGUUGGUGGGGUAACGGCUCACCAAGGCGACGAUACAUAGCCGACCUGAGAGGGUGAUCGGCCACACUGGGACUGAGACACGGCCCAGACUCCUACGGGAGGCAGCAGUAGGGAAUCUUCGGCAAUGGACGGAAGUCUGACCGAGCAACGCCGCGUGAGUGAAGAAGGUUUUCGGAUCGUAAAGCUCUGUUGUAAGAGAAGAACGAGUGUGAGAGUGGAAAGUUCACACUGUGACGGUAUCUUACCAGAAAGGGACGGCUAACUACGUG
rnacentral:rRNA from 1 species